UGCGCAGGCGGGCUUGUAAGUCAGUGGUGAAAUACUGCCGCUUAACGGUAGAACUGCCAUUGAUACUGCAAGUCUUGAAUAUGGUUGAGGUAGGCGGAAUGUGUUGUGUAGCGGUGAAAUGCAUAGAUAUGACACAGAACGCCGAUUGCGAAGGCAGCUUACUAAGCCAUUAUUGACGCUGAGGCACGAAAGCGUGGGAGCGAACAGGAUUAGAUACCCUGGUAGUCC
rnacentral:rRNA from 1 species